GUCAGACUACGACCAACUUUGUGUCUUCGAUGCUAAUAUACCAUGCUGGGAGAGGGAAUACAAAUUACCAAACCUUAAUGAAAUAUUUAUACAUAACAGUUACAGUGCAUUAGCAAUGAAAUUCGCUAUGGCCACAUUGUUCUCUUAUACAUGUCCCAUAGUUACUUUGUUAAUUUUUUUGAUGAGUAUAUGGGAUAUAAGGUAUAAAGCACGAAGAGUUCUUCUAUGGCAUCGAAGGCCGUUAUUGAUAAAUGCAUCAGGGCCCGGCAUUUGGCACCGUUUGAUUUUUAUGGCAGCUCAUGUUAUUCCUCUAUUGAACGCAUCUCUUAUAGUGUUACAAUCAAGAUAUUUCCUUAAACAACAUGCAUUGCAAUUUUAUCUCGAGUUCACGAAUAAUAAACA